AACGAACGCUGGCGGCACGCCUUACACAUGCAAGUCGAACGGAACUGUGGUAGUUUACUACUGCAGUUUAGUGGCGAACGGGUGAGUAACACGUGGGAAUCUACCUCAAAGAGGGGGAUAAAAUACCCCAUAAUUUCUAAUGAGGGUUUCUAACAUUUUUCUUGUUUUAAUUGAUUGUCUAAUACGAGUUUUUCUUGUUUUUGACUUCUUUUAAUCUGAGAGACAUGUUAGAGAUCCUGAAAUUGGAACAAAGAUUUAUCGCUUUGAGAGGAGCCCGCGCCGGAUUAGGUAGUUGGUGAGGUAAUGGCUCACCAAGCCUAUGAUCCGUAGCUGGUCUGAGAGGAUGAUCAGCCACACUGAGAUUGAGAGACGGCUCAGACAUCAUAAGAUGGCAGCAGUGGGGAAUAUUGGACAAUGGGGGAAACCCUGAUCCAGCGAUGCCGCCGUGGAUGAAAAAGGAUUAGUAAUUGAAAAGUCCCUUUCCCUUCGUGAAAAAAAUGGACGUUUGCCGAAAAAAAAAAGUUACCGGCCAACUCUUGGG
rnacentral:rRNA from 1 species